rnacentral:rRNA from 1 species
GACGAACGCUGGCGGCGUGCUUAACACAUGCAAGUCGAACGAUGAAGAAAAGAAUCGAAGCUUCGGCAGAAAUUCAUUUCGGAUUAGUGGCAGACGGGUGAGUAACGCGUGAGCAACCUACCUCUUACAAAGGGAUAGCCUCGGGAAACCGGGAUUAAUACCAUAUAACAUUGUGACGAAGCAUUUCGAUGCAAUCAAAGCUACGGCGGUAAGAGAUGGGCUCGCGUCCCAUUAACCGGAUGGUGAGGUAACGGCUCACCAUAGUGACGAUGGGUAACCGGCCUGAGAGGGUGAACGGUCACACUGGAACUGAGACACGGUCCAGACUCCUACGGGAGGCAGCAGUGGGGAAUAUUGCACAAUGGAGGGAACUCUGAUGCAGCGACGCCGCGUGAGUGAUGAAAGAAUUCGUUUCGUAAAACUCUGUUCUAUGGGAAGAAAAGGACUGUACCAUAGGAGAAAGCUCCGGCUAAAUACGUG